rnacentral:rRNA from 1 species
UAGGGAAUAUUAGUAAUGGGCGAAAGCCUGAACUAGCAACACCGCGUGCGCGAAGAAGGCCUUCGGGUUGUAAAGCACUUUUUGAGAGGAUGAGGAAGGACGGUACUCUCAGAAUAAGUCUCGGCUAACUACGUGCCAGCAGCCGCGGUAACACGUAGGAGGCGAACGUUAUCCGGAUUUACUGGGCGUAAAGCGCGUGUAGGUGGUUCUGUAAGUAGGGCGUGAAAGCUCCUGGCUCAACUGGGAGAGGCCGUUCUAAACUACAGAACUAGAGGAUGGUAGAGGGAGGUGGAAUUCCAGGUGUAGCGGUGGAAUGCGCAGAUAUCUGGAGGAACACCAGUGGCGAAGGCGGCCUCCUGGACCAUUCCUGACACUCAGACGCGAAAGCUAGGGGCACGAACC